rnacentral:rRNA from 1 species
GAUGAACGCUGGCGGCGUGCCUAAUACAUGCAAGUCGAGCGAACAGACGAGGAGCUUGCUCCUUUGACGUUAGCGGCGGACGGGUGAGUAACACGUGGGUAACCUACCUAUAAGACUGGGAUAACUUCGGGAAACCGGAGCUAAUACCGGAUAAUAUUUCGAACCGCAUGGUUCGAUAGUGAAAGAUGGCUUUGCUAUCACUUAUAGAUGGACCUGCGCCGUAUUAGCUAGUUGGUAAGGUAACGGCUUACCAAGGCAACGAUACGUAGCCGACCUGAGAGGGUGAUCGGCCACACUGGAACUGAGACACGGUCCAGACUCCUACGGGGGGCAGCAGUAGGGAAUCUUCCGCAAUGGGCGAAAGCCUGACGGAGCAACGCCGCGUGAGUGAUGAAGGUCUUCGGAUCGUAAAACUCUGUUAUUAGGGAAGAACAAACGUGUAAGUAACUGUGCACGUCUUGACGGUACCUAAUCAGAAAGCCACGGCUAACUACGUG